rnacentral:rRNA from 1 species
UACAGAGGGUGCAAGCGUUAAUCGGAAUUACUGGGCGUAAAGCGCGCGUAGGUGGAUACUUAAGUCGGAUGUGAAAGCCCUGAGCUUAACUCAGGAACUGCAUCCGAUACUGGGUAUCUAGAGUAUGGUAGAGGGAAGUGGAAUUUCCGGUGUAGCGGUGAAAUGCGUAGAUAUCGGAAAGAACAUCAGUGGCGAAGGCG